AAAAACUAAUUAGGGUUUCAUUUUAAUAACAAACGCCACCCACAUAUUUUUGUUGUCUAUAUAUACUUCUUAUCUCUUCGUAAAACAACAUACGACACACAUAACCUCAUCAUCUCUCUCACAUAUUCACAUCCUUGUCUUAUCUCUCUUAGUGUACGUCUCAAAAUAAGUACUAGUCUCUUCUCACUCUUUCUAAACUUUUCCAUUUCAUCAUCUAUCCAAGUCACGAAUGCAUCACUAUCAUCGUAUCCACAUAUAUUCGCUCGACCGGAUUCGGAUCAGUAAACUCCGAAAUGAUGUGUUGGUCAUGAAUUCAUGAUCCUAACGAGAUGUUUUGUCCAAACGAUGAUAUUAUUGUUACAUAAUACCUUUUUCUCUUCUUCCAUAUGCGAAAAGCUAUCAUAACCAACAUGGGAUCUCUUCCGCUCAUUCUAAUCGCAUUGCGCAAUCGAUAUCCAAGGUUUCUCUCUAUUUUUUUCAGUAUUUUUUCAAUAAAUUAUCAGAAACUUUUUGGAUCUACACCAUGUCCCUUUAAACUUAAAACUGAUGAUUGAAUUGGUGAUUGCAUUACAUUUUGAUUCUUAGAAAAUUUUAAACACGGACCAACUUAAACGCAUAAACACUAUUUGUAUGUAUCAUAAAAUAUGAAAACCUUGUAUAUCUCGAGGCAAACAAAAAUGUAAGACGAUCCAUGCUGUAAAAGACAACAAAAAAUUAAUGGACUUUAUAAACCUUUUUUUUAUGAUAUUUAUAAUUUAGGAUUUUUUUUUGGGGAUAUCCGGAUCUUAAAACACCUAGUAGAAUCCGGAUCCUCCAAUAUCAAUAUAAUUAUUUUGUGAUAUUUUUUUAUAAAAUUUAAUCCGAAUCGGAUAUAGGUAUUAUGAAAUUUAAGACACAAUACCUAGAUUCAGAUCUAGGAGCUCUAGAUACUCUAUUUUUUGGUUAGGUAUUUAUAUGGGUUUAUCUUAAAUUUCAACGGAAAGUUCUAUCUACAAAAAUGUUAAUUCAUCUUUAUGGUUAGGUAUUUAUAUGGGUUUAUCUUAAAUUUCGACCAUAGUAAAAAAUAGUCAUAAUGGUAUUUCGCACAAAAAAUUAUGAUUUUUGAAAUUUUUUGGAUCAACAUAUGUAAAGGUAGAUUGUGAAUGCAUUAUUAUAAUAGUUAAUUAAAAUCUUUUUUAAAAAGAACAAUCUCUUGCCUUAUUCACAUAGUUACAUGAUCUUGUUAUAUAUAUAAGUAUCAUACCUUACAUAUGUUGGUUUCAUUCAUGUAUUUGUUUCGAUUCCUGAUAAGGUAUUUUUGUUUUUUGGAUAUUUCAUUUAAGUUGAUAAGUUACACUAGAGUACUUUUGCAGUUUCUACGUUAGAUAAUAACUAAUUCUAUGGUUUUUAUAUCUCAAUAUGCUAAUGGAUAUUUAGUUGUAUGAAACAUGCAACAAUUUAUUCAUAGAUCCAAACAUCCAUAGGAUACAUAUAAUAACCGAGAAUUAUAUGAUAAGAAUAUUUAAAUGUAACCAUUUUGAAAUGAGAAAAUUACCUCAAGCUAUAGUACCUCUAUGAGAUCUAUUUGUAGGUUACAAAUUAAGAAAAAUAGAAAAGAAAUUUUGUAAACUACUCAAUUACAGAUGGCGAAUAUUCCAUUUUGAUCAUGAGCCAGCCUCUAGUUUUGGUUUAGCUCGGCUAACGGAGAGAUGUUCUCCGGUGCAAAAAGCAUGAAACAGGAAACAUCAAAUUCUUGUGGUCAUAUAAUAUAACCAACUCAUAUUUUAUGCUUAACUAUAUAAUGAGGUUAUAUUAUAUAACUAUAAUAAUUUGAUGUUCCCUCGUCUCAUAUUUUUUACGUUAAAGAACAUCUCUCUACUAGUUGAACUAAGCAUGGACGACUAUGGGUUGGCAGAUGAACUAAAUGGAAAAUUCGAGAUAUGUAACUAAGUAAUUAUGAAGUUUCCUUUUUAUCUUUUUUUGUAGCUUACAUUGAUAGCUCAUAGGUGCUAUAUGUUGAUGUAAUUUCUCAUCUCGAUAUUGUCACACUUUGACUUUCUUAUUAUUCAGAAAGUGAGUGAACGAGAAGAGCAGUCGAAGAUGGCUUCAUGUUCAUGUUAUCAUAUGAUCAUAUGAAAGUGCAGAUUGAUAUUAGCGAUGAAGAUGGCUAUACUCAGAUCUGAGAUAUCUUAGUUUUUUGAAUUAUAUAGUCUCUUGGUUUCUUGAAGUUGUAUAUUAUAAUUUUAUGACAUGUAAAGAUUAAAAGAAUACAUUUUUUACCAA